AAUUCAGCUGGUGCGCUGACAAGCCAGGGCUAUUACGGCAACGGUCAGGCGACGCCGCCGAUCCCGGUGCCGCGCAAUACGUGGUACGGCGUCAAGAGCGGUCCGCUGGCUGACAUCGUGCGUACCGAUACCCAUAUCGGUACGAUCAAGGUCGAGCGCGACCUCGCGCCUGACCUCAAGAUCAGCAACGCGACACGUUACGUCAGCAAUGAUCGCUUUGCGAUCAACACUGCGCCGCGCUCGCUUGGCGAUAACACAAACACUGCAUUCGCGAAUC
rnacentral:misc_RNA from 1 species